rnacentral:lncRNA from 10 species
AAGAAACAGGCUUUUAGAGAGUCAGCUGAAAAAGAGGAGCAAAGCCCCAAAACGAAAUUGCCUUUGCACCUUUAAGGCUUAAGUAGUAACUGGGAGUUUUUAAGUGUCUUUGACAACAUUGAGUGGAGGGAUAUUAUGAAGUUACAUUUUCAAUUUUCUCCAGUUGCAAAAGAAAAUGUAACAGCUGAAUCCUAAGUCAGGGCUACAGUAUUGCCAACAGAGGACGAAAGAAAUCUAAAGGAUUUUGCUUCUCUGCAUGACCCAGCGAUUCCAACAGUGAAAAGUUAGAAUGGUAAAUUUCCUAACAGCUGAAGCCUCUGGCAGAGUAAAGGCAACACCUGACUGAUACGUUAUCUUCCUACCGAGGCUCUGCAUGUAAGGAAAAAUUUCAAGUAUUUGCUCAGAAAGCCUGUGUGGAUGAAUAUUGCUUCCAGGAGUCACAUAAUUACAUCUAAAAUCAUAGAAUGUUAGAGCUGGAGGAAUCUUUAGAGUUUGCCCAAGGUCCUUCACCAGCAUUUUACAGAAGAUUCUUCGAUUUAACUGCUCUUAAUUACAUCCCGUUGCACUGGCCCCAUCAAGUUGCUUUAAACAGCCCUUCUAGUCAACAGAGCUGCAGAGAAAAACCUUGGUUGGUUCAGGUCACUAGGAUGCAGGACCAUGGGCAGCCAGCUAGCAGCAGUGUGAUCUGACAGCCCCUUUCUUCAGCUGAAACAAGUAUCUUUCACUUCUGCCAUGGGCCCUCUCUCACAUCCACACAGUGAGAUGAUUAUAAAAACAUUCCCAGCACCAACACACAUGAAUCCUGGAUGCUCUAGGGAGUUGCUGCUCCAUGGGCCAACACUUGAACAUGGGAGAUGGAAGCUAGUGGAUAAAUACCCUUUUCUUCUUUCAGAUGGGCAAUUGUAAGCUGUAUUAUACCCAGUUGCUUAGAGGAACACUGUAGGGACAGGCAAUGGAACUACUGAGCCCAGUGGAGAUUAACUUAAGAAUGUUCCUAUUAAUUGACUUCUCUGUUAUCCUUGACUCAUUUUCCCCAGUUCUCCACUCCUCAUAUCUGAAGUUGCUUCCAAAAAUGAGCUGCCCACACACAGCCCUUGCCCCAGGCUUUGCUCUCUGAGAAACUUAGGCUGAGAACUUGUUCUUUAAGAUAUUCAUCAAAUAGUUUCCCCUUGAGUGGUGGAUUUGGAUUACUACAGAUUUCUCAGACUCUCUCAGUCUUGGUUGCAAAGCUGUCACACUUCAUUUGUGAGAACACUCCAGAGCUUCCUCCAGCUGCUGAUUCCAAACCAGCUUCACAGUGCCUGGAUACAUGUUAUCUUCUGAGAAAGGCCAUCUCUAACCACUCUGUUCUUCCAGUACAAGCAAGCCGCUCCUGGGUCUUAUCUCUAUUUUAUCCACAGAACUCAUUUAUUUCCUUGCUUUUUAUACCUUUAUGCCUGAAUGGAUGUUCCUUGGAAGCAAAUUUUCCUUCUUUACUAUUUCAUUCCUAGUGUCUAUAACAUAAAAUAAGUGUUCCACAAAUUCUCGUAUGAUGAAAGAAUAAUAGAAUAUUAAUAUAAUAGAUAAAUUAAUAAAAUACGUUCACCUAUGUGCACUUUUACCUUAAAUAGUAAUAAUAAGCAGUUUUAACGUGUCUGAUGCUUUUCUAAUGCCAGUGCACAAUGCCUUCCUGUUUAUUUUGGGCCUCUUAGGCAGCCAGCUAACUAGGGAGCUCAUACCACUAAAUGAUUAUUGUGAGAACGGAGCAGGAAAGACAGGCAGUAGAUCCAGGAUUCAUCCAUUUGUAUUAUGUUAAAUACAAUGGUAAUCACACUAUUUUACCCAUUCUUCUCCUAGCUCCUUCUGAAUCCAAGGCAAAUAAACAAACUAUGCAAAGAAAUCAAACAUGACUUCUUCUUGGUCCUAUAAGAAGAUUGUUCAUGCUAUGCUUGUUAGAAGAGUUACAUGUAUACCUAUGAUCUUCGAAGACUAAAGAAAAUAUCAAGGAAACGUAUUUCAAUAAUGAUAUGGUCAAGACAUAGAGUUUCUUAUAUUAAUAAUACAAAGUUCACUUUCUGAAAAAAUGCACAUAUUGUUUAAGAUCGUCACAUAGUUUAUAUAUUUUAAUCGCUCCAUAAUUACGGAAUUAUUUUAAAUAAUAGCAAUAAUUAUAAUUGUAGUAUUUAAUGUCAAUAUUUCUACAAAUUAUAUUUAAGUAAAUAAGUAUAUUGUGAAAGGAGAGGGAUUCAGGAUCAGGGGUAUGUUCAAAAAUCUAUUUGUUUUUGUCAUUGUUGAAUAAAAAUCUCCCAUCUCAAAAUCUUUGUAAAAGGAUAUCCAUGGAAAAAAGAACCUAUUACUUUAUUCUCCAGUCAAAAUUAAAACUGGUUCACAAUGGCCACAUCUUCUAUUUAUACAUAAAACACAGCUUUUAACAUAGACUAAUUUUUGUCUGUUAAAAAUGAAAUUGAGAUUCAGUAAAGAUGGAUUCAAAUUCAAUACGUUAAAUCUAUUGUUUUAAAUAUACCAGGUCAUGUGUGCUCUCUCUUUUCCCUCCAACCCAUUUCACUCCCCUUCUUUCUCCUUUUGAACUGCUGACCCGAGUUAGUAGCCAAACAUAAUAAUACAGUGUUUGAUUCUCUGGAAACCCAUAAAAUUACAAACCAGCAACCACUAGGAUGUUGGCAGAAUUUCUGUGGACAGCAACCAGCAUGGUACUUUUUUUCUUUUUGAAAUGAAGCAGUACAUUGCAAUUGUUGAUACAGUACCAAGGAAGGGAAUAACGUCCACCAUAUGUCGCCCCCACCACCUAACUCUUUUGACUACUUGAGGUUGGGAGAGAGAAUUCAUCUAUUUAAAACAUGAAUGCCUUCUCUUUUAGCCUUUACUAUUUAAAGAUGCCUUUUUUCAUUUUUUUUAUUUUUAUUAAGCAGCAGUGGAGUUUUAUACUACUAUACUAAGUGCGACAGAAGAUAAACAUAUAAAUAAAACAUACCACUACAUGCCUUCAAGAAAAACAAAAUCUAAUAAAAUCUAAAAUCUAAUGGGAACUUCAAGUUUUACUGGAAAUUAGAGACUCUUUCUUCUCACUGCAACAGGAAUAUUUGAUUAGUCGUACAGCUGCAC